AGGAAUCAUUGAUCCAUUGAAAGUAAUUAGGACGGCCUUGGUUGAUGCUGCUAGUGUGUCGUCUUUAUUAACUACAACUGAAGCUGUUAUCGUUGAGCUUCCCAAGGACGAGAAGGCAGCCCCAGCUAUGCCUGGUGGUGGUAUGGACUACUAAUGCACUAGAAAAGAACACUGAUUCAAAUUGCCUGACAUACAAUUUAGCACACAGAAAUAAGAAAUUUAAGGUUGUUGCUCAUGGUACCUCAAUUGUAACACUAGCAAGAGAUGUUUUUGUAGGUUGAGAACUUGUAAUAUUUUCAAGACAAUGCGGCUACCUCAUUUUUAAUCUACUUCCUUGUUCUCUGUGAUUAUCACUGAAAUCCAAAAAUUUUCCUGAGUAGUAUAAAUGAAUUUUCU
rnacentral:misc_RNA from 1 species